UACGGAGGGUGCAAGCGUUAUCCGGAUUCACUGGGUUUAAAGGGUGCGUAGGAGGGCAGGUAAGUCAGUGGUGAAAUCUUCGAGCUUAACUCGGAAACUGCCGUUGAUACUAUCUGUCUUGAAUACCGUGGAGGUGAGCGGAAUAUGUCAUGUAGCGGUGAAAUGCUUAGAUAUGACAUAGAACACCAAUUGCGAAGGCAGCUCACUACACGAAUAUUGACUCUGAGGCACGAAAGCGUGGGGAUCAAACAGG
rnacentral:rRNA from 1 species